rnacentral:rRNA from 1 species
GACGAACGCUGGCGGCGUGCCUAAUACAUGCAAGUAGAACGCUGAAGGAGGAGCUUGCUUCUCUGGAUGAGUUGCGAACGGGUGAGUAACGCGUAGGUAACCUGCCUGGUAGCGGGGGAUAACUAUUGGAAACGAUAGCUAAUACCGCAUAAGAGUAGAUGUUGCAUGACAUUUGCUUAAAAGGUGCAAUUGCAUCACUACCAGAUGGACCUGCGUUGUAUUAGCUAGUUGGUGGGGUAACGGCUCACCAAGGCGACGAUACAUAGCCGACCUGAGAGGGUGAUCGGCCACACUGGGACUGAGACACGGCUCAGACUCCUACGGGAGGCAGCAGUAGGGAAUCUUCGGCAAUGGACGGAAGUCUGACCGAGCAACGCCGCGUGAGUGAAGAAGGUUUUCGGAUCGUAAAGCUCUGUUGUAAGAGAAGAACGAGUGUGAGAGUGGAAAGUUCACACUGUGACGGUAUCUUACCAGAAAGGGACGGCUAACUACGUG